GUUCUGUCCUCUGUAUUUCAGACCAAAGCAAGACAAUGUUUAAUGCUCACUAUGGAUCUACUAACAGGAUCCAUUUUGAGACGACAGAGCAGAAAACAAGAUAUGGAGAGAACUAAAAAAUUAAGGGUCAGUGGUCUAAAAUGAGUC